rfam:Daphnia pulex DAPPTscaffold_4_Cont277, whole genome shotgun sequence.
UUACUGGCCACUCCCCGUGCUGCGACAGGUGCUUCCGGCUGUGUUAAUAAUUGCGAGUCAGGUACCUGAAGUAGCGCGCGGAGUGGCUCGGAA